AUGGCAGGUUUGGGUGUGCUCCUCUUCCUGGCAGCUUGCUCAGGAGUCAGCUCCCAGAUCCAGCUGACACAGUCCAGAGCAGAGGUUAAGAAGCCUGGGGAGUCGGUGAAGCUGAGCUGUAAAGCCUCAGGCUACACAUUUACUGAUUAUAGCAUGAACUGGGUUCGCCAGUGUCCGGGGAAAGCACUGGAGUGGGUAGGAUACAUCACCACGGAUCAGGGCAGUACGGGCUAUGCCGAGGCAUUCAAGGGUCGAUUCACCAUCACCACGGACACCUCCAUCAGCACAGCCUACCUGCAGCUGAACAGCCUGAAGACGGAUGACACAGCCGUGUAUUACUGUGCCAGGCGCACAGGCAGUGAUGGUCUUUGGAUCACGCUUCAGAUCUGGUGCCGCUUUGGACACUUCAGCAUCCCAAGCAGCAUGCCUGGAUCAAAGCACGGGCUCAGUUAA